rnacentral:rRNA from 1 species
UAGUCCACGCCGUAAACGAUGAGUGCUAGUUGUCGGAUUUUUAAUUCGGUGACACAGCUAACGCGUUAAGCACUCCGCCUGGGAAGUACGGCCGCAAGGCUAAAACUCAAAGGAAUUGACGGGGACCCGCACAAGCGGUGGAGCAUGUGGUUUAAUUCGAUGCAACGCGAAGAACCUUACCACCCCUUAACAUCUUGGUCGGGAUUUUGAGAGAUCACUAUCUUCGGUUCGGCCGGACCAAUGAUAGGUGUUGCAUGGCUGUCGUCAGCUCGUGUCGUGAGAUGUUCGGUUAAGUCCGGCAACGAGCGCAACCCCUGUGAAUAGUUGCUAACAUUUAGUUGAGGACUCUAUUCAGACUGCCCGUAUCAAACGGGAGGAAGGUGGGGACGACGUCAAGUCAGUAUGGCCCUUACGCCCAGGGGCUGCACACGUACUACAAUGCCCAGUACAAUGAGAACCGAGACCGUGAGGUGGAGGAAAUCUAUAAAACUGGGACUC